GAAGGGAGGGGGCGAAGGGGCGGCGGCGGGAGCGGAGACACCGGCGUGGGACGGCUCGGGCAGCCCGGGGGAGGGCUGCGGGAGGGUCGUGCCGGAGGAGGGGGCAGCGGCGGGGGUGGGAGCGGGGAGAGGAGCGGGUGCAGAGGAGGAGGCAGUAGCCCUGGAGCAUAGUCGGGGGAGAAGGGGCAGCGGCGGCAGGGCUGGGGGCACAGGUGUAGGAGGUAUGGGCUACGGCAGGGGUUGUGGGGAGGGGGCACUGCGGGGCAGAAGGGCCUGCGUGAGGACUCGGGCCCAUGGGUGGUGCCCGGGGCAAGGGCUCCCCCCACCCCAGGGUGUGGCACGGCUGGUGUCCGCGCCCCUGCUUGCAGCUCCUCGGCUAGGGCCGGGAUGCAGGGGCCGAGCUCUUUAAGCCCCCUGGCCCGGCUCCUCCUGCGCCCCCUCCCCCCGCCCCAGAUUCCCGGCAGCUUCUCGGUCUCGGGGGGAUGGGCGGACUCGCUGAGCGCCUCUGCAGUGGGUGGUGUUUACCACUCCGCCCCCUCUUUGGGGCAGCGCCCGGGACCCCCUGACCUGUCUGGCGACCCCCGCUCUGGGAAGCAGGGUGCGAGGAUUUUCUAGUGAAUGAAACUAGCGGUUUGGGGACGUUUAACUGUCCUGGCAGCUUUCCACCCUCUGAGGUUUUGCAACUUGUAGCCCAGGGCUUUGGGAAGCGGGGAGGAGGAGCUUUCCCUGCAGCCCGGACCUCUCCCUCCUAAUGAUGGGAAUCCCCUUCCCCCGCCCCUUCCUCCCCCAGGCUAUGGAAUUGAGGGCUUCGGAUCCGUGGGUUACUUUUUUGGACGGACCCGAGAAAGCUGGGAGUGGAAACCCCUGGGUGGCAGGUAUGGGCGGGUGGGCACCACCCUGGCCCGGGGCGAGGGAAGCCUCCUUUCUAAGGGAUGGCUGCAGUUGCGGUGAUUCCCAAUUGCAAAAUGCUUCCUUGCAGUGGAGGCUGAGCCGGGGCGAGGAGGAGGUUUACAGGUGGGGGUGGGUAGCAGAAGGUCCCUUCUGGCUCCUUCCCCACGGGCGGCGCCCAGGUGAGGAUGGGAGAGCAUCCCUAACCCCCACAGGCUUGGUGGGAGGCGGAGUUGGCUGGCAGAGCUUGCUGUGCCAAGUCUGGGACCCGAGCCCGGAGUUCACUCGGUCUGUGGGUGUUCCGUGCACACUCGCGAGCGCUCGCGCUGUUUCUGAGAAAUGGAAAAUCGCGUUUGGGCUUUUUAAAGCCAGAGGCUCCGGAGCCACCACGGCAUGGCCUGUGGCUUUGGGCCCAGCAUCGAUCCCCAAAUCGAAGGCUUUCUCAGUUACCAAGGAAAUCCCCAGCCUGCGCACUAGAGUGCUAUAAUGGUCCUGGCUGCAGCACCGAGCCGGCGCCACAGGUAAAGGGGGAGAGAAGUACCCCCUCCUCUGAGCUGGAAAGGAGACUCUAGACCAGUCCUAGCAUGUGAAAGCUGAGCCUGAUAACGUCACUUGCCCAAAGUCACACCCUGUGUCAGAGAUGAAGUUACCUCAUAUGCCCACUGUAGAACAAGUGGUCAAUGGCAGAACUGGAUUUGCAUUUGGAUCCUUUGUUUGAACCAGAUGCUCUUUCCACUGUCUCAUGGCAGCUAGUCCAUGAAUAACUCCCCCAGACAAUGGUUUGUGGACCCUAAUCCGAUGUCAGUUCAUCCUAAAGAAGAUUCUGGAUUCUAGUUCUGAGUCUGAUUGUUGCCUUUUGUUUGGAAGCCUCAAGCUGCCCCCUUUCCCCCCGGGCACUAAACCCUCCUGUGUAGAAUUGGACUAGGGGGCAGCUCCAAAGGAAGGAAAAGCAUGUCUACACCACUCUGCGGACAGUUAUCCUGUUUCCCUUGUCUUGCAGUUCUGCUGUCCUGGGUGCUGUCAGUGACUCUUGGGCCACUUCUCCUUUCUCAAGCCUUUUCUCAUGAUAUUCUGUAACAUUGCAGCCUGUCCUAAUGUUCCCCAAUGGACAGGAAUCCCCUUCGCAGCCACACAAAACACUCCUUCCUAGACUGCACCUGCUGUUUUAUUAUGUUUGGGCCCCCAGGCUGCCCCGCCUGGCCCAGCGGCCAUCUUCAUCACUUUUUUUGCCUCGUUCUGAAAUGUUUUCCAGAAAAGUUGAACCAACUCCUAAGCUUUUAGAUGAAGUCUCUUUCAGAGAAAGGAGAAAAGGACCAAGUCAGGAAGAGCCAAGUUCAAAUUUCAACAUUUAAUAGUUGUGUGACCUUGGACAAGUUACGUAACCCAAUUUGCCUCAGUUUCCUCAUCUGUCAAAUGAUUUGAAGAAGGAAAUGGUGGACCAUUCCGGUAUCUUUGCCAAGAAAAUGCCUAAAAGGGUCAGGACCGAGGUGGCUGAACCCCAACAAAGUGACAUCUACUCCUUGUACUAUUGUCCCAAAGCUCUUGAACGUUGCCGAACAGAAUGGGUCCACUCCUGCCGGGUAAACUCUUCCCUCUCUUCAUUACUACAUUAGCAAUUGUAACUGCAGGACCCACAGCUGAUCUAGACAUGACUUCCGCUGCCCUAUCAAGGAGGCACAUGGGCUUCAUCCCUAUUGGGCCGGUGGGGAAACCGAGACUCCUUCCUGUCUUAUAUUUGUGAGAUACUUUACCCCUCUCAGAUUCACUAUCAUCUGUAAAAUGAGAAUAAAAAUACCUAUGGUGCA